GAUGAACGCUGGCGGCGUGCCUAAUACAUGCAAGUCGAGCGAACAGACGAGAGUGCUUGCACUCUCUGACGUUAGCGGCGGACGGGUGAGUAACACGUGGGUAACCUACCUAUAAGACUGGGAUAACUUCGGGAAACCGGAGCUAAUACCGGAUAAUAUUUAGCUUCGCAUGAAGCAAUAGUGAAAGACGGUUCUGCUGCCACUUAUAGAUGGACCCGCGGUGUAUUAGCUAGUUGGUGAGGUAACGGCUCACCAAGGCAACGAUACAUAGCCGACCUGAGAGGGUGAUCGGCCACACUGGGACUGAGACACGGCCCAGACUCCUACGGGAGGCAGCAGUAGGGAAUCUUCCGCAAUGGACGAAAGUCUGACGGAGCAAUGCCGCGUGAGUGAAGAAGGUUUUCGGAUCGUAAAACUCUGUUGUAAGGGAAGAACAAGUACGUUAGUAACUGAACGUACCUUGACGGUACCUUACCAGAAAGCCACGGCUAACUACGUG
rnacentral:rRNA from 1 species